CAGUAGCCACGGUAAAACCAGCAGCCCAAGUGGUGGUCGCGAUUAUUGGGCCUAAAGCGCUCGUAGCCGGGCCGGUAAGUCCCUUGUGAAAUCGGACGGCCUAACCGUUCGGCGUGCAAGGGAUACUGUCGGUCUUGAGGCCGGGAGACGUCCGAGGUACUCCGGGGGUAGCGGUGAAAUGUUCUGAUCCUCGGGGGACCACCGGUGGCGAAGGCGUUCGACGAGAACGGGCCUGACGGUGAGGGGCGAAGGCUAGGGGAGCAAACGGGAUUAGAUACCCCGGUAGUCCCUGUCUCUUAUA
rnacentral:rRNA from 1 species